AUGGACAAGAUGCUUGUCUUCUUUAUCCUAAGCGCGUCGCCGGCCGAUAACAACCCCGGCGCCCGCGGCAGCUGGGCGAGGCUUUCCUGGCGGGGCAUGCAGCAGGACGAGAAGCGGCCGGAGGCUGAGCAGCAGCACCAGCAGCAGCUUGGAAAGGGGAAACCGCAGUCGCAGUCGCAGCUUCCGCCGCCGCGUCAGCCGCGGUUCGCGCCGGAGUUCGACGGGAUUGACUGCUUCGAGACCAUCAUCUGGCGUCAGUGA
rnacentral:rRNA from 1 species